rnacentral:rRNA from 1 species
UGGGGAGUACGGUCGCAAGAUUAAAACUCAAAUGAAUUGACGGGGGCCCGCACAAGCGGUGGAGCAUGUGGUUUAAUUCGAUGCAACGCGAAGAACCUUACCUACUCUUGACAUCCAGAGAAGCCAGCGGAGACGCAGGUGUGCCUUCGGGAACUCUGAGACAGGUGCUGCAUGGCUGUCGUCAGCUCGUGUUGUGAAAUGUUGGGUUAAGUCCCGCAACGAGCGCAACCCUUAUCCUUGUUUGCCAGCGAGUAAUGUCGGGAACUCCAGGGAGACUGCCGGUGAUAAACCGGAGGAAGGUGGGGACGACGUCAAGUCAUCAUGGCCCUUACGAGUAGGGCUACACACGUGCUACAAUGGCGCAUACAGAGGGCGGCGAACUUGCGAGAGUGAGCGAAUCCCAAAAAGUGCGUCGUAGUCCGGAUUGGAGUCUGCAACUCGACUCCAUGAAGUCGGAAUCGCUAGUAAUCGUAGAUCAGAAUGCUACGGUGAAUACGUUCCCGGGCCUUGUACACACCGCCCGUCACACCAUGGGAGUGGGCUGCAAAAGAAGUGGGUAGUUUAACCUUUCGGGGAGGACGCUCACCACUUUGUGGUUCAUGACUGGGGUGAAGUCGUAACAAGGUAACC